AUUGAACGCUGGCGUCAGGCCUAACACAUGCAAGUCGAGCGAGCGGCGGACGGGUGAGUAAUGUCUGGGGAUCUGCCCGAUGGAGGGGGAUAACUACUGGAAACGGUAGCUAAUACCGCAUACAAUCGGAUGUGCCCAGAUGGGAUUAGCUAGUGGGUGGGGUAACGGCUCACCUAGGAGACGAUCCAUAGCUGGACUGAGAGGAUGACCGGCCACACUGGUACUGAGACACGGUCCAGACGCCUACGGGAGGCAGCAGUGGGGAAUAUUCGACAAUGGACGAAAGUCUGAUCGAGCCAUGCCGCGUGAGUGAAGAAGGCCUUCGGAUGGUAAAGCACUUUCAGCGGGGAAGCGGUACUCACAGAGAAAGCAACGGCUAACUCCGUGCCAGCAGCCGCGGUAAUAC
rnacentral:rRNA from 1 species